ACUCAAAUGAAUUGACGGGGACCCGCACAAGCGGUGGAGCGUGUGGUUUAAUUCGAUACUAAGCGAAGAACCUUACCAAGGUUUGACAUCUCUGGAAAGCUCUGGAAACAGAGCCGUGCCGCAAGGAACCAGAUGACAGGUGCUGCACGGUUGUCGUCAGCUCGUGCUGUGAAGUGUUCCGUUCAGUCGGUCAACGAGCGCAACCCUCACUCUGUGUUAAAUUUUUCACAGAGAACUGCCUCAGUUAAUGGGGAGGAAGGUGAGGAUGAGGUCAAAUCAGCGUGGCCCUUACACCUUGGGCUACACACGCGCUACAAUGGGGAGUAACAAUGGGUUGCCAAGCCGCAAGGCGGAGCUAAUCCCACCAAACCUCCCCUCAGUUCGGAUUGGAGGCUGCAACUCGCCUCCAUGAAGUCGGAAUCGCUAGUAACGGCCAGUCAGCCAUAUGGCCGUGAAUACGUUCUCGGGUCUUGUACACACCGCCCGU
rnacentral:rRNA from 1 species